AUACGAAGGGGGCUAGCGUUGUUCGGAAUUACUGGGCGUAAAGGGCGCGUAGGCGGCUUUUCAAGUCAGGCGUGAAAUCCCCGGGCUUAACCUGGGAACUGCGCUUGAGACUGGAAGGCUUGAGUUCGGGAGAGGUGAGUGGAAUUCCCAGUGUAGAGGUGAAAUUCGUAGAUAUUGGGAAGAACACCAGCGGCGAAGGCGGCUCACUGGACCGAUACUGACGCUGAGGCGCGAAAGCGUGGGGAGCAAACAGGAUUAGAUACCCUGGUAGUCCACGCCGUAAACGAUGAGUGCUAGACGUCGGGGUUCUUAGAACUUCGGUGUCGCAGCUAACGCAUUAAGCACUCCGCCUGGGGAGUACGGCCGCAAGGUUGAA
rnacentral:rRNA from 1 species